UCUCUGGGGGUCUAGUGGUUAGGACAUGGCCCUUUCACUGCCAUGGUCCAGGUUCAAAUUCUGGUUUGGGAA
rnacentral:tRNA from 1 species